UAAACCAGGAUUAGAUACCCUAUUAUUUUAGACUUAAAUGUUUAAUUACCUGAAUAUUAAUAGUUAUUUUCUUGAAACUCUAAGAAUUUGGCGGUAAUAUAUUUUUUUAGAGGAACCUGUUUUUUAAUCGAUGAACCACGAUACUUUCUACCUUUUAUAUUUAUUUGUAUACCUCUAUUUAGAAUGUUUUUUUAGGAUAAUUUUCUUUUUCUUUAUAAGUUUAAUUUUAGGUCAAGGUGCAGUUUUUUUUAGGUAAACAUGGGUUAUUUUUUUAAUAAACAACUAGUUAAGUUGUUUUGAAUUUGGAUUUAACAGUAAAUUUAAUUAAUUAAUUAUUUUGAAUAUUUUUUUAUAUUAUGUACAUAUC
rnacentral:rRNA from 1 species